rnacentral:rRNA from 1 species
AGCUCCAAUAGCGUAUAUUAAAGUUGUUGCAGUUAAAAAGCUCGUAGUUGGAUUUUGGGUUCUAGUUAAGUUCGGUCCUCUCAUUGAGGUACUGUCUUGCUGGCCCUUCUUCUCGGGGGGCAUGGGUGCACUUAACCGUGUGUUCAUGUUACUCGGGACUUUUACCGUGAGAAAAUUAGAGUGUUCAAAGCAGGCUUUUGCUUGAAUAUUGCAGCAUGGAAUAAUGGAAUAGGAUCAUGAUCUUAUUUUGUUGGUUUCUAAGAUCAAGAUAAUGAUUAAUAGGGAUAGUUGGGGGCAUUAAUAUUUAGUUGUCAGAGGUGAAAUUCUUAGAUUUACAAAAGAUUAACUUCUGCGAAAGCAUUUGCCAAGGAUGUUUUCGUUAAUCAAGAACGAAAGUAGG